rnacentral:rRNA from 1 species
GAAUAUUGGACAAUGGGCGAAAGCCUGAUCCAGCCAUGCCGCGUGUGUGAAGAAGGUCUUCGGAUUGUAAAGCACUUUAAGUUGGGAGGAAGGGUAGUAACUUAAUACGUUGCUAUUUUGACGUUACCGACAGAAUAAGCACCGGCUAACUUCGUGCCAGCAGCCGCGGUAAUACGGGGGGGGCAAGCGUUGUUCGGAAUUACUGGGCGUAAAGGGCUCGUAGGCGGCCAACUAAGUCGGACGUGAAAGCCCUCGGCUCAACCGGGGAACUGCGUCCGAUACUGGAUGGCUUGAGUCCGGGAGAGGGAUGCGGAAUUCCAGGUGUAGCGGUGAAAUGCGUAGAUAUCUGGAGGAACACCGGUGGCGAAGGCGGCAUCCUGGACCGGCACUGACGCUGAGUGAGCGAAAGCCAGGGGAGCAAACGGG